ensembl:lncRNA
CUCCAGGUGAUUUUAAUGUGCAGCCAGGUUAGAAAACCUCUGCUUGGUCUUUGUGGCCUUCACGUCGUUGCUUAAGCUUUUGCAUCCUCCCAACUCCUGACCUUUACACGGGCUGCCCCUUGCACAGGAUCCUACCUACUUCUUCUGGCUGCCCGUUCACACUUCUAAGAGGAGGCUAUCAGGCUUUCAGAUGUUGCGAGGUAGGGAAGGCCGGUAAAUCAUCAUUUUGUGAGAAUAUGAGAGGAGGGAUGUUACCUGGAACAUGGGGAGAAGGGCCUUCCUUCGUGGAAAAUGGGCUUUGUCUUGCAAUUCUGGCCGGCUGUGGCUCCAGAUCACAGAAGGCUUUGUCUUCUCUAAGACAAAGGAAGAGCAGAAAUGAGAGACUGUGACAGACUUAGAAUCCAUUCCACCUGUGAACUUACGUGUCCUCUACAAAUUCUUUGCACAGCUUCCUUGCAACCUUCUCUCACCUCUGCACAUUACAGAAAUGGGUGUGAUCAUAGUACCUAUCUGUCUCAGAGGUCGGUGUGAGAUUUAACUGAGUGACUGCUUCUGAAGUCCGUACCCAGAUCUUAAAAGGCAGGAAGGCCAGUUUGGAACUCACACAACCCACAUCAUCGACGAUGACUUGGCCUAGUGCUUGGCACUGGCUCCCUGACAGUUAAAAGGCACAGGCCAGGCGAACCCAAGUGGCAGCACUGAGGAACAAGGAAAAGGAGGGAGAAUGAGAGAUUCUUAUCUACCCAUGCCUCACCCUAGCCCCUGCCAUUCCCCUCCUCCCCCAAGGGACUUCUGGCUUCAGCCCAUACCAGCUCCAGGCUGGAGGGGCUCUGCUGCCCAGGGCCGCCUCCACUUCUGUCCACCUCUUCCUCCUGCUGAAUGUGUGAGGAAGCAUCCCACCCUAAGAGGGGAAAAGCCUGGACCAGCAGAGAUCCAUGCUGCUGCCUUGUGGGAGGCAAAGGCAGGAAGACGGAGAAAGAACAUUUUCCAGUUUUGACCUGAGACAAUCCUAUCUUUAUGGAGAACAGCUUGGUGUUUUUCCACCCAGACUGAGUAGUGUUGGGAGUCACCAGGUAGAAGGUUUCCUUGACCGUAAAUAGUAGUGUUCUUUGAUGGAAUGAAUGAUGGUCUUUUGGAUGUAGAUAUGGAUGCUUCAGAAAGGUUUUCAAGUCCUGUGGAAGACUGACCCUCCACCCCUACAUCUUUGUGAGGAAUUAUUCUGAUUCUAGGGAACCUUGAUUGGGUAAAACUG